CAAGUUGAUCCAAACUGUAAGCUGAUGGAGAUGGUUAUUUAUUACCUGCUUCAAGACAAAGCUUGCCCUCUUCAUAAUUGUCUGCCCCAUCAUCCAAGGGAAGAUGAAAAGAGACAGAAUAAUUUCAGUUGGAGCAGGGUCAGAACAGCAGCAUCAUCUUCAAGCAAACAAUGAGAUACUUUCAGACUCACACAGAACAUGAACACCACCAACUCUGCUCUCUCAGAACAUUUAACCACAGGUACUUUUUGCUUGCUUUGUUCUAGAAAAGAUUGCACCCCAUGGAGGUUCCCAUAAGAUGAAGACAGACAAGAUAGCUGAAAAAAAUUGAAUACUAAAGGAGUGUCAGAUUAACAAAUUAAAAGCAACCCCUAGCCACAACCCACUGGUUUUAAUUUGUUAAAGUUUUGUUAAGCACUGAUAAAAAGACCACAGGUGGUUCACAGCAGAACUCUAAAUGGCAAAUUCAGUGUAAAGGAAAGGUCAGUGCAGGCAGUGACCCACAGCUGAAGGUAAAUAUGCAGAGUAAGCUCUUCACUAUGCAGUAAAUAUCCACACAACAGAUUUCACUGCCUAUUUGAUUGGUAUCCUGUCUCUCACACAGGACCAGAUGAACUUCAGUCCAAGUGGGAUCAUUAAAAUCACAAAUAGGUUGCAGCUCAAGAUGAGAUGCAAAGUUAUUCUCAGAGUUUCCACAUUAUUCAUGGUAAGCUCCACAACUCCCACACACUUGGAGGCUGUAAGAAAAGGCUCUUCAGUCACCAGGAUUCUUUCCACCCAAAGCCACCAGCAGCAGGUCACUGGACAGAGGAUCUGGGCACCAAAGGGUGCCCAAAGCCCUUUGGAGCAUCCAUCUCUCAGCUAAGAAAGCACAUGGAACCACUCUGGAAGAAGCUCAGUCCCAUCUGCUGGAUGCAAACACCCACCCUGACUGUCACCCUGCUCCUGGGGGCCAGCUCUGCACUUCUUCCAACCUGAUCUAAUUACUACUGGCUAAUUACUGCAGGCUUGGGACCCUUCCUGACUGGGGCUUUCUGGACUCAGCUGCAAGACCUUCCAUUUCUCAGAAAAAAAUGUGCAAAACCAUCCAAACAGUCCCUACCACAACUGGAAAGGACUUGGCAGAACGCUGGAUUAUGAAGGCAAAAAUUGCAUGGAAGCUCUUAGAUUAAAGAUGUAAAUAAAAUAUUUGGAGUUUGCAUGAAUAAUUUCAGAAUGUAUGGUCUGAAGCUUCCUGUUCAUGUAGUAAAAUUUAAUCCAUUUCUAAACAUUUCUGAUUGAAGCAGGCUGAGUGAGAGGUUAAAACAUGCAGGAGUAAAGUGAUUGCUGCCUCUCCCUAAGGCAGUCAUUAAGUUCAGAAUCAGUUAGCAACUGGGGUGGAGAUUUUUAUCUAGAAAAACAGGUAAAUAAAGUCACAAAACUUAGGGAAACCACAGUAUCAAACGUGACAGAGCAACUGUUGAGUCAAACAAAAAGCAGAGCAGAAAACAGCUAUAUGGAGGUAAUGUCUCUUUUUCCUGCAGUAGGAACACAAAGAAAAUUCAUUUUCUACACAGACUGUAAGGCCAGCAGAGUGAGUUUGAAGAUGAAGAACACUUUGCUCUCUCUCAACACCUCACCCAGGAAAAACACCAGAAACACACUGACCUGAUACUCUGACCUUCAGAGCAUAUUUCAGCUUCAAUUCUAUUUUUAAAUUAAUUGCUGGGAAAAGGCAUGAGUCACAGCCCUGCCUGGAUCCCCCUGCACUGGACACUCACCAAGGGCUCUGCUCAUUCUGAACUUUCCCAAGUCACAGCAGGCUCCUGCUUUAGCACCUCAGUGUGAAGAACAAGGUUCAGCUCCCUCAGCCACCUAGGAAUCCCAGCCUCUGUGUCCAUCUUGAUCCUCCCAAUUCUGGCCCAGGUGUUUGCUGCACACACCAGGAAGCUCUGGGAUGCUGCCAAGUGUUCCUGCCAGGAAGGGAUCCCAGCUCAGCUGCCCUUGGCACCUUCCUUGUGCUCAGGCUGCAGUGUUGACUCCCACCUGCUGACAGUGAAGGUCAACAGAACCUAAAGAGAGGCCUCAGGGAAGCACAGGUGAGAAAUUCAGGCUCUGCACUUACAGGUACAGCUGGAAUUUGGAGGGUCCCACAGUCAAAACUCCCUGUUCCAGCACUUGGAGAAGGGGAACUGUGCAAGCAAUGAGGAAUACAUCACCCAUGUGCUGAUGGAGGUCAGCAGCCUGUGGGGCUCAGCUUUGUGCCCUCCCCAAACCCAGUUUAGGAGCAGCCAAAUGAUUAUGUACGCAGUCACAUUUUGGAUUUCUUGAUUUCCCCUUCUUCCUGUGUCAUCCAGUUCAUUCCCUCUGGAGCAGGAGGCUGCUCCACACUCCCCUGGCACUGUGGAUGUCUGAGGCAGUGAGGCCCAUGCUGCUGACUCACCUACACAAACCCUCAGCACUUUGAUUGGGUCCAGGCUCUUCAUUACAAAGAAGCCUUUUAAGACAUCAGAAAUAAAUCAUCUGCCUGGUUGCCUUUAAUGAAAGCUCUGCUACACAGGAAAAAGGGGGAGGGAGCACGAAACAAUAUCCACGGUGGAACAGCCCAGCCAGAAAAGAGGGAUGUCUGAGGAACAGAAUGAAAGACUUGAGAAUUAAGUCAAGAAGAGAAACAAUAAAGUAUGGAAAUGGAGCAGGAAGGUAUAAACAGGAAAGUUACAAAUGGAAUGAAAGGCUGAAGUGACUUUUUUUUUGGUGAAAGAACACCACACCUCAUUAGGACAAAGAGGCAGUAACAUGUUCCCAUGUCCCAGCUUCCCGUGCAACAAUCCCCGGUUCUUUUAGUGGAUUUCAGCUGUAAGAGCAGAAGAAAACAUUUCCACACAACUGGUGGGGACUUCAAAAGCAGCUAACAAGGCUGAAAUCAAUCUCUCUUCUCUUAAAAGUUUUACAUAGCAAAGCUCUGUAACAACUGCCCCAAGUAGUCUCUUAACAAUGGUGAGGAGUUCACAACGAGCUGCUCAGGGCUAUGAUUCAUUCGUGGCUCUCUGCCAGAAAAAUAAAUACAUUCAAGACCAGUGGCCCCAAGGGGAAAGGUAGGCCACUCUUAAAAAGCACGAGAUGAAUGAUUUACAGAGCAGAAUCCAGUUUUCAGCCCAUAUGGAUGAGGAGGAAGGACUUUUUUACAUCUCCCAGAGAUUUAGUGCACGGACUUGGAUACUGGCAGUGCAUCAACAGAUGGAGGGAACUGGGAACUGUCGAGCUGGGAUUUGCAAAACUCGCUCCAAAGAGCGAGAAAUGAUUUCUUAUAUUGCUGUGCACAGUUCAUAAAGCCAAACCAAGCCGUGCAGUGGGUAUGGAGCAACACAAGCCAUACACAGGCAGCUCAGGUUACAGGAAGUGCAGUAAAGUCCCACCUGUGCAGGGACAGAGGGAUCCUCUGGCAGAGUGACAGUGACAAACAGCUCAGGGCUGGGCAGGGCCUGACUCCACACAGCAUCUGCUGCACAUAAAAAGAGUUAAUUAGCUGCUAAGCAGCCAGCAGUACUUCACUCUUGUCCUUUCUCCCCAAAGAACAUUAUUGCUGGGGUAAACGCUCAGGCAGCAAGGUGCAGGAGGGAGCCUGGGCUUUCACUGUGGGAGUGAGGCCAGCUCACCUCACACCAGCCUGAUGUGUCACUGCCCUCUCCUGCUCUGAGCCACCCUUUCAGUACCCAGCACCUUCAGAAACACCAAACCCCACUUUUAAGAGUGGCUUUAACAUUCAGAACAUUCUCUUUAACAUUAUUGCACAGGGCUUUUACCUUUUCCAAGCAGCAAAGAAAGCUGCUUUGAAAUGCUAGCAACUGCAUUUCAUCAUUAAAAAAUUCCAGAUUUACCUGGAAGUGCCUUAAAUCCCCUAGUUCCACUUCUUAUAAUAAAAACCAAACUGGGGACUUUGGCCUCUUACUAACAGGGCCAGAGAAUGCCAGGGCCACACAAACAUUUUUCCCCCCAUAAAAAGGUUGUACCAUCAGCAAAGGGACAUUGGAGGGGAUUUGUUUCACACAUUCUAGCACCAAUGGAUAAUGCAAAGUGUGAGGAGCCUGCCUCUGACCUUAGAAAGUUACCCAGUUAUGUAGUUCCUAUUUCACAGUAAACAUUUCCUGAGUGUGGGUUCCAAUUUCAAACUCAAAUCUUUAAAAAGAAUCAGUAUUUAAACAUUUCCCUGUGAUUAAAGCAAGCCUGUGUGAGUCCUAUUGCAUACAACAA